AGCAUGCUUACACAUUUUUUUUUUGUUGUUUUGUUUUGAUUGUACACUAAUUUAAGUUGGAAAUAUUUAUACCUUAAAAUUUCAAUGUCAUGCCAUCCCAUUCAUUUAAGGCUUGUGAUAGUGCCUUAAAAAAAUCAAAUGUAACAUGGAUGGGGGGGAGGAGAGGAGUGGAAAGUGUAACAAUGCCAUCUUUGAUUUACAAAUUAAUUCCAUAAAUAAUAGGAUUUGCCUCCUGCGCUCUGCUUUGAAAGGUGCUUUGGUGUCUCAUUUCGCUGUAACAUUUUACUCUGCUUGUUCCUCUUCAUCUUGCCUGGUGAGUGGGGGAGACUGCUGUGCUUCUUUGGUUGGGGCCUGUCUCUUCUGUCAGGGCUAGGGAGCACAUCCUGAGCUGUCUUUAGGUGAGGCUUCUCCUGUGGUGGACCUCCUGCCACGAUGCUGCCCCUGCCUCCUUUGGGGACUGCAGGAACAGUCAUGCUGGGGACCUUUCAGCUCUUUGGAUUUCAAAGGUGCCUUUGGACUCUUGCUGAGCCAGAUUGGUCAAGUGCCAGGAGAAUUGCUGCACAGGAUCCCAUUCCUGUGAAACUGUCACCCAAAGGGCUGUCAGCCCCCUCUUGGGGUGUUUGUUUACUCCCUCUGCCAUGAAGACUUUGGGUCACAGAUGACCCUGCCAACCUCCUAGGUCUCUGUAAUAAGCUGAUAUCAGUGACUAGAAGCAUCAGAGGAGGCCAGGGUAUGGCCUGCCUCUCUUCUCCUCUUCAUUGUAAAGUCUCACAGAAUCACUCAGUGGAUGUGUUAGGGUUUUAAAAAAGAAUAAUUUAUUUUCAUAAUAUAAUUUGCACAAUGUUUAAACCAAGGACAAAUAAAAAGUGAAAUAAACAGCUGGGAAAAUAAAAUUAGGAAAAAUAUCAAGCACUUGGUGAAGAUUUUUUUUAGUCAUUUUUUUUUCAAAU
rnacentral:lncRNA from 1 species